UGGGGAAUAUUGCACAAUGGGCGCAAGCCUGAUGCAGCCAUGCCGCGUGUGUGAAGAAGGCCUUCGGUUGUAAAGCAACUUUCAGCGAGGAGGAAGGUGGUGAACUUAAUACGUUCAUCAGUUGACGUUACUCGCAGAAGAAGCACCGGCUAACUCCGUGCCAGCAGCCGCGGUAAUACGGAGGGUGCAAGCGUUAAUCGGAAUUACUGGGCGUAAAGCGCACGCAGGCGGUUUGUUAAGUCAGAUGUGAAAUCCCCGGGCUCAACCUGGGAACUGCAUUUGAAACUGGCAAGCUAGAGUCUCGUAGAGGGGGGUAGAAUUCCAGGUGUAGCGGUGAAAUGCGUAGAGAUCUGGAGGAAUACCGGUGGCGAAGGCGGCCCCCUGGA
rnacentral:rRNA from 1 species